rnacentral:rRNA from 1 species
UACGUAGGUGGCAAGCGUUGUCCGGAAUUAUUGGGCGUAAAGCGCGCGCAGGCGGUCCUUUAAGUCUGAUGUGAAAGCCCACGGCUCAACCGUGGAGGGUCAUUGGAAACUGGGGGACUUGAGUGCAGAAGAGGAGAGUGGAAUUCCACGUGUAGCGGUGAAAUGCGUAGAGAAUGUGGAGGAACACCAGUGGCGAAGGCGACUCUCUGGUCUGUAACUGACGCUGAGGCGCGAAAGCGUGGGGAGCAAACAGG